rnacentral:miRNA from 1 species
UAUACUAAGUACACUACGUUUAU